rnacentral:rRNA from 1 species
GUGGGGAAUAUUGGACAAUGGGCGAAAGCCUGAUCCAGCCAUGCCGCGUGUGUGAAGAAGGUCUUCGGAUUGUAAAGCACUUUAAGUUGGGAGGAAGGGCAGUAAGUUAAUACCUUGCUGUUUUGACGUUACCGACAGAAUAAGCACCGGCUAACUUCGUGCCAGCAGCCGCGGUAAUACGAGGGGUGCAAGCGUUAAUCGGAAUUACUGGGCGUAAAGCGCGCGUAGGUGGUUUUGUAAGUUGGAGGUGAAAUCCCCGGGCUCAACCGUGGAACUGCCUCCAAAACUGCAUGACUAGAGUACGGUAGAGGGUAGUGGAAUUUCCUGUGUAGCGGUGAAAUGCGUAGAUAUAGGAAGGAACACCAGUGGCGAAGGCGACUACCUGGACUGAUACUGACACUGAGGUGCGAAAGCGUGGGGAGCAAACAGGAUUAGAAACCCGAGUAGUCC